rnacentral:rRNA from 1 species
AACCUGGGAACUGCAUUCGAAACUGGCAGGCUAGAGUCUUGUAGAGGGGGGUAGAAUUCCAGGUGUAGCGGUGAAAUGCGUAGAGAUCUGGAGGAAUACCGGUGGCGAAGGCGGCCCCCUGGACAAAGACUGACGCUCAGGUGCGAAAGCGUGGGGAGCAAACAGGAUUAGAUACCCUGGUAGUCCACGCCGUAAACGAUGUCGAUUUGGAGGUUGUGCCCUUGAGGCGUGGCUUCCGGAGCUAACGCGUUAAAUCGACCGCCUGGGGAGUACGGCCGCAAGGUUAAAACUCAAAUGAAUUGACGGGGGCCCGCACAAGCGGUGGAGCAUGUGGUUUAAUUCGAUGCAACGCGAAGAACCUUACCUGGUCUUGACAUCCACAGAACUUUCCAGAGAUGGAUUGGUGCCUUCGGGAACUGUGAGACAGGUGCUGCAUGGCUGUCGUCAGCUCGUGUUGUGAAAUGUUGGGUUAAGUCCCGCAACGAGCGCAACCCUUAUCCUUUGUUGCCAGCGGUUCGGCCGGGAACUCAAAGGAGACUGCCAGUGAUAAACUGGAGGAAGGUGGGGAUGACGUCAAGUCAUCAUGGCCCUUACGACCAGGGCUACACACGUGCUACAAUGGCAUAUACAAAGAGAAGCGACCUCGCGAGAGCAAGCGGACCUCAUAAAGUAUGUCGUAGUCCGGAUUGGAGUCUGCAACUCGACUCCAUGAAGUCGGAAUCGCUAGUAAUCGUAGAUCAGAAUGCUACGGUGAAUACGUUCCCGGGCCUUGUACACACCGCCCGUCACACCAUGGGAGUGGGUUGCAAAAGAAGUAGGUAGCUUAACCUUCGGGAGGGCGCUUACCACUUUGUGAUUCAUGACUGGGGUGAAGUCGUAACAAGGUAACCGUAGGGGAACCUGCGGUUGGAUCACCUCCUU